CCUCUUAUGCUCUGUCUGCUCUGUCUGUCUGUAUAAUUCCAAGCAGAGUCAGGUUAAAUCAAGAGACAAAACAUCAGACCUUCUCACACAUCACUUGCUAUGCACACAAAUCGCUAUGUAUGUAGUGUAGUACUUGUGGACUGGUUCAAGUACAACAAAAAAUGGUUAAAAUUUUAAACGAAGGCAUUUCUGAACCAGAUGACACAUACUGGGCGCUGAAAUUGCCGGAGGACAUGAAAUGAAAGCAUCGUUGUUUCCCUCUUUGAUAGAGAAACAAGGGAGCUUCUACGGCAAUACAAGGCUUGGCUGAAAUGCAAAAGCAUUUCAGGUGAAGCACUACAUACACAAGAAUUUUAUAGUAGCUCAAGUGCAUAUAAAGUUUUAAUUUACAGCUAGACCUUGCUAGAGAUGACAGGAUUAGAUCAACUGGACCCGCCAUACAUCUAAUCUAACAUAUAAAGCCUCCUAGACUACCCGCGUAACUGGAGGCAUCGAGCGCGCAAGAAGUUUUUGACCGCCCGAUCAAAUUACCGGUGGAGCGACAGUGUUCUUUUUGGCCGCUGGCGUCUGCCCAGCCGUCGGUUUGUUUUCAUGUCCUUGGCCGCUUCAGCAGAGGAUGACGGGUGGGGUCGUGAGACCAUGGGGGCCAGCGACCAGAGGUUGGGUUUCUCUCGGUACUACGUGAAGGUUGACAGAGGGUGGGCUGUUUCUGAUUGGCUAAGGGCGAAGCACGCGAACCCUAGCCCCAAUCCACAACCCCCACGCCGCUCCCUCCUCCCUCCCUCAGCCGCCUCCAUGCUCCCUCCCACCUUCUCCUCCUCCUCCUUCUCCGCCUAGGAGCCUCGCCGCCGACGGCUACUCCUCCACCGCCUCGCCUCUUCCUCCUUCUCGCCUUCCCAUCGCUCGCGCGCAGGUCACCCGACGGCAGGGGUGGUCAUGAAGGCUUCCCAGACUGACGGAGGAGCACGCCGCCGCCGCAGGCCGCCCGUCCCGACGCGCGUCCGCAUCCGCCCCGACGCAGCCUGGCCGAUCUUUCUCGGGAGGCAGCGAGAGUUGCAGGCGCCGCGGUUGGCGUGCACGCGCUGCUCAACUGGGUCGUCGUGGCCAGGCUCUGCCGCGGCCUCCUGGGCGCGGCCAUGGUCGGCAACGCCUCCUGGUGACUCAUCAACGCGGCUCAGUUUGUGUACGUCGUCGGCGGCUCCUUCCCGGAGGCGUGGACGGGGUUCUCGCGCAAGGCGUUCGCCAGCCUCGGCGGCUUCAUCAGGCUCUGCCUCACGUCGGCAGUUAUGCUCUGGUUUUUACUUCCGUUGCUUCCUGGUCUAAUUAGUAUAUACAAACGCUUUGGGUCGUACUUCCGUUGCUUCCUAAUCUAAUUAGUAUCUACAGACGAAAUUCUUUCAUCACCCAUCAGCGCUUCUGUUUCCUUCUGAGUAGGAGUGAUUUCUGUGCUGCAGCUUAGAGAUGUGGUACUACACGGCAGUAAUUGAUGGCACGGCCGAGCAAGAGGAUUCCGGUGCUGUGCACGCACCUGAUCGGGUGGUCGUCAUUUUCUCCGCCUUGGGCAGCACCAGUUGAGCUAUAGUUUGUAGGGGUUGUACGCUCCAUCGUCUAAAAUAAAUCUAGCCAACAGGUGGUUUAGAGGCAUUUUGUGGUGCCACUAUUUUCUUUCAGGUUUAGGCACUUUGACUCUACUAACUUUAGCCCGGUUUGUAUCAUUAGAUUGCACGCUGCCUUUCAUUGAUGUAUUUACAAGCUAUAGACAAUUGCAGAUCAACAUGUUCAAAGUUUUAUCAUCUUAUGUUUUGCUGCCAAUUUCUAUGUUCACUUCAGUAAUGUCUAAUUUGGUGUUCUUUUAUUCCUUCUGUACUGAUGCUAUUCAAUACAACCUUCAUGUGCACCUUGACUUACAUCGAUAAUCUUGCACGUAAUUCCCUCUUUUUUAUUGAUGUGUGGUUUUAUCGUUGUGAUUAGUUCCCUCUCUUUUUACUUUUUCAUGUCAGGUACUACAUGUACUUUUUGUGAUGGCAAGGGUAAAUUAGCAGCCAAUUUUGGUGCUAGCCAGAUCAAAGAUUUAUGUCCUAAAAAUGAUUUGCUCGGCUUCAUGCAAUUGAAUUGUUAUCACAUAUUUACGAGCAAGCUCAUAUUUAUAUCUCCAUGAUCUCUUAACAGCGAGAAAAGGGCUUACUGCUCCCCUCUAAACUCAUAUAUUUAUUGAUAAGUGCUGCAGUUUAUGUAUCUAUUUCUCUCUAGAGCUAGCUGAGUGGUCAACACUGAGGAAGAUGGGGAAGACAGAGCCAGCGAGGAAGAUGGCUCAGCCCUGCCACCGAUGCCCACCGGCCACUCCCGUCGGUCGCCAUCGUAGGAGGGGCGCACCAUCGAGGAGCAGCAGGGGAGGAGAAGAGGAUACACCGCCGGACUCCCUCUUCACUUUAUGGCCGCAUCUCCCCCGUCCGUGUACAAUUUAUUCUAGUGCUCGACUCGGUGUUCGUCUCAACAAAACCUAACAUGUCGGUGCGAAAUUCUGCUAGCCAGCUUGACCAUUUGCUUUGGAAGGAGUAAUUCAACUCAGAAAGGACAAAUGAUUGGCGACUAUUUUUUCCCUACAAUCUCUUUAGGUUCAGUGGACAUGUAUGCUGAAUAUCCCCUCACUAGACAAGAUUGGAUUUUAAUCUAUACAAGCCAUCCUCUCAGCUGCUCAGUGUCGUGUCUCUCUAGACACAGGUGAAUGCACUGGACUUUAUGAGAUCGAGGCCACCAACGGCAUAUGCCAAGGGCGUCCAUUGAUUACCUGCCCAAGGUCUGGAUUCACCGAGGAGGUACAACCGGACACUUGGUCGGCUGCCUGCUGGUCUGGAAACUACACAAUAUCUCUGAAACCCACUAUCCUCUAAUGCAUGAAUCUCUAUGCUCAGUUGGGCUACAACUAAUUUAUCAUCGUUUCAUCUUAUUCUAUAAUGCAAACAUCAUGUUUUUUCAUCGAGAGAAAGAACAUUAAGAAAAAAUUAUCAUUCUAUUGUAGCAAUAGCGAUUGUACAAAUAGCGGUACUGUGUUUGGUCGGUUGUUCUUGUGGCUUCCUGGCCAUGGGCACUUUACUGCUUUGUUCCAAAAAAAACCUGGUAUGUUUAUUCUGCUGGUACAGCUACUCUUUGGCUGGGACAUUUUGGCUUGGAAUAACAUAAAUGAACCUAAAAUUUCUUAUUAUUUUAUACCACCUUUUGUAUUUAUGUCCUUGUGCACACCAUCUGGAUGCUUUGAAAGUAUUUACCCAGCUUUCUUUUGAUUUGAGUUGUCUUUAUGUCAAGGACUAUUACAUAGAAUUAAGAAAGGCCAUAGUUAACCAGAAUAACAACUGCGGCAUUUCCUUGCAGAAAAUCUAUAAUGUUAUUUGCAGUGGUGAUGAUAGCGGGUCUUCCGAAUCGCUUCCUCAGCCUAACAACGCAGCCUACAAACCAACUUUUAUCAACAUCAGUAAUGAUGCUGGCCCUUCGCACCGUCGCCUGAAAGCCAAGAAAAAGAAAAGAAAAAGGAGCACACAUUGCAUGGUACAAAACCGUCUACCAUUACCGUUGUCAUGCUAUUAUGCCUAAUUUUAUUUGCCUGCCUAUUCAUACUAAUCUUUCAAGCCCUCUUCAUGAUUAUCAUCAUACAACACCUACAACUAAAUCCAUAAAACCUAAGAAGGCUGAACACAAGGAUUACAUAACCCGUACGAUCAAACAAUGUUUUCAUUUGCUCUACUAAUACCAGUACAUGCAUAUGCUUACACCAACCAUUUUAUAUACCAUUGAAUAGGGGCACCAGGCACUAUCUACUUUCUAAGUUUUGAUAGUCA